rnacentral:lncRNA from 1 species
UUUUUUUUUUUUUUUUUUUUUUAUGAUUCGAACUCUCGAGGGAAAAGUAAAAUCAGGUGUUGAGAAGGAAGUUUCCUAUUGUUUCGCUUCUUUUAAAACACAGAAGCUGAAGAAUUUCGUGAAUGCUAUUAUAGUUUCUUUGGAAUGCAUGCCAAGGGAGUUUAGUAUAGAUAUUCAAAACCUUAGGGAUGCGAAUCGAAAUUAUGAAAAACUCAAGGGAGCUGUCUGAAAUUAUCGAUAAAGUCCAAUUUUGUAACACAUAAUGGGUCAAAUUUUUGCAUCAAUUUGUUUUUGUUUCGAACGUAUCAAAUCCGGACUCAUCUGCGUGGCUGUGCUGCGUUUUACCAACCAAAGAAUCUGUUCUUUGAGAUAGAGAGAUUUUCUAAGGACCCAAGCUGUUGCAGAGUACUUCUUUUCAAAUCAUCAAAAGCAAUGCCAAGCUUUAACUCUUUUACCAAGCAUUGAGCUUGUAAAUCCCAAAAAAAAAAAAAAAAAUCCCCUGAACCACCAGGGCUUUCCAAGUCUUUGGACAGUGCCGGGGCCUUUUCUUUCCGCUUCCGAUUCUCAGCCCCACUAUAGAGCUUCAAUACCAAGUCUUACUUUUUAUCUCCGCUGUGUAGCUUCAUUACAAGACUCACUCUUCAAAUCCUGUCACGUAAGGUUACUUACGUUAAUUCUUACAACGUGACUUAUCACACGUAUUAGAAGGGUUUAAAGAGGGAGACUUGAUAAAGGGGCUGAGGAUCGGAAGUGCUUUCUUUCAACACUAGCAUGCAAAAUUGGGAGAUAUAAAAGGAGAUCUCCAAAUCUACAAUAGUAUUUCCAAAUCUUGAAGAAGACACGGAUAAAUUGAAAAGUGAAAACCAAAUCACCCAAUUGGUAACAUUUACAUCAAUUUUGCAACUUGCAAGGUUGAUCACGAGAACUAAGUUGAGCUUCUUCAAAAAGAACCUCGUGCUUGAGAACUGGUUGAGAGGCUGUCUACGAAGUGACGAGGCUCGAAUAAGUUCAAAAUCAUCAGAAAGAGCCAUGAGAAACUGAAUCACCCGCUGUUGAUCCUUAUAAGCAGCAACUUUUUCAGCAUUAACUGUACACUUAGAAGUUGGUUCAAAAAUGGUUAAUUGAUCCCAGACUGCAUUCAUGUUUGCAACAAGCUGAUACACUGGUUCUUGAUCUUCUUGCUUCAAGCGAUGAAGAGUUUGCAAGAGUAGGUAUUGAUCAGUAAGAUUCCAACCAAUAUAGCGAUUGGCAAGAAAAUCCCAGACCUCCUUAGCAGUAUCAAAGCUGCCACGAAGUGUUGUAGAACCAAGUGAUGAUCAGAUGAUUCUGACUGUCCCAAUCCUCCAAUCUCUCGGGAAACUUAUCUGCUUCUUCACCCUCCUUUUGGAUUGGUUUGGUUGCAUCAAUAAUGAUGAGAUACCAGAGUUUUUGACGGAUGAGAAAGCAUUUCAUAUAUAGACCGUGCCAAGAUGAUUGGUAUAGGACGAGUAAUUUCUGAUGAAACAGAAAUGUAGCAGCAAAAAGUUACCAAAGAGUGCAAUAAACAGGGACAGUUUUCACUUACAACUAAAAGACCAAAACAAAUCAGAAAGGAACAAUCAUGGCAAGGGCCAAUGCAGGGUUGGUAUUUGCUUUGUAUAGAGGGCAUCUGUUUCUUGUAAACUAUCAAAAGAAGAACAUGAGAGAAAAAUAAGUUGAAAACAUCAAAUUCGCCUUUAUGCCCAUGUGUAAUUCUGAUCACUACUGCAGAAAAUUUUCAUUUACUCGUUACAAUACACUUAAUCUGAGUAUGAUAGAAUUCUUUAAGCACAAAUGCAUGGUAGAUUUCAUACACACCCUCCAGCAAUUAUUUCUCAUGUGGAAGAAAUCAAUAUGAACAUUAAGGAAAAGAAUCCGUUUCACUUUCUGCCAUUGACAAGAUUUCCAAGUUCCCCCAAAAAAAAAAAAAAAUUGCUUACCCAAGUAUAGAAAAAAUUUCUGGCAAGAAAGAAAGUAAAACUCAACCUUUCACUUUUCCAUUACCGGUAAGUUGGACGGUGACAUGGGACAGCUUGUCUGUCAAAACCUGUAACAUUAAACCAAAAAAAAAAAAAAAAAAUUCUCUUCUUCUUUAAACGGGUUUUGGUGACUGAUAAUACAUUUGGAAAUUCUUACGAAAAAGGCGCCUUUGAAGCAAAUGCAUAAACAUGAUGAUAUGGUUUUUUUUUUUUUUUUAAUUUUGUUUAACAAAUGAGAGAUCUUAUCUACAAUUCAUCCCAUCUUACCAUUCAAUCCAAUCUAAUCCACCCCCAAUAUGCUUAUCUUUAUUGAAUAAAAUCAUAUGAUUUCUUUACGGAUUCUUCUCUCAUCAUGACGAAGUUAUAUUUUCUCCUUGGGUGCAUAUGCAUUUUUUUUUUUUUUUUUACUUUUUUUGGUUCAAUAGAGAUUCCAAACCUUAAACGUAGAAAAAAAAAGGCCGUUUUAUAAAAUGAUUUCAAAUACAAACUCAAUACAAUUCAACCGACCUAAAUAGCACCAAAGAUUCCGCAACAGGAUUGAAUCAGUCAUUAUGCUACAAAUCGUCCAGAGUAAAUUAAAAUGAUUUCUUCAACUUACACUGAAAUAAUUGAACAUUUUUGCAUCAAUUUAUUUAUAUUUCACCAAAACACAUGCGGCGGAUCUAACA